GGCAGUAAGUCACACUAGUCCCUCCGUCUUGACCCCUCCAUGCCUUAUUUCCCAGUGCUACGGGUAGGAUAGGUCCCGUGUCCUGGUUCGGGUGCUGUCUCUCACUGCGGGCCUAUUCGUUUUAGGGGGGGUAGUUACCCAGGUGGAACGUCACUUGUAGCCCCACACAUUACGUCUCCCUUGCUGGAUCCAUUUGUAAAAUUCUCUAGGGGGGUUUGACUGGGUCUCACUAAUUGUCAGGUCCAGUCAUGAACGUUCACUGCAUCUUUCUAUUGUGCCCUUAGAGUUAGUUUUUGUCGGCAGUAGGGUGGCGCAGUGCGAUUAAUGCCCAGGGUAUGGGUGGGUUAAAACCUCCGUAUGGGAUAUCACCAACAUUUGAAUUAACAUAUUAACAGAAUGCAGUAUAAGAAACAAAAUAACACUUG